AUUCUAGGAAAACUGAAAGGCAGUUAAGGCGGUUGCAAUGGUGACAGUGGUAAAUGAAUCAAAUCUGCCAGUGAAAGAUCCAUUCAAACCGAGACUGAGAUGACUUUUGUGUACACACCUUUUCUCCUAAACCCUUUGAAGGAUUUUCACGAAACUUGGGUCAAAUGUGCACCACAUCGUGCACCACAUCGAGAUGAUAUGCAAAACCCACAUUUCAGAUGUGGUCAACCUUGACCUUAAACUGAGGGUUCUCGACAACAUUGUUAUCAAGUACAAGGACUCCACUGUUGCCUUGGUAAAUCCAAGGUCAUGAAAAUGUCAAAGGUUGAUGAGAGGUCAUGGUCUAUGAAAGGCCAGGGUCACUGAGAGUAGAGGCUGCUGCAGAGGACAUCAGAUGGAAAAAUCUCUAAGACGGCAAUAUAUGUUUUUAGAAACACUGAAAUGUAUGAAUUAGUAUGUGAAUGCCUAAUGUUAUAUUAUUUUUUUUAUAAAUGAUUGUAUAAUAAUGUACAAAAUUCAAUAUAGUUUAUUGAAUUGAGAGGAAAUGUUUAUUUUUUCUGAUUUAUGUAUUGUAUUUUUAUGUGUCUUUUUUUGAAAAUAGAUAACAAUUGUAUGAAAAAUUGUUGAACAAUCAUUGCUUAAUUUUAAAAAUAGUAAAUUAACUUCUAAUAUUUUUUCCUGAAAAAAAAUGCCCAAAUAUGUCUUGUUUAAUUUAAAUUACAAAAUCAUCUCUUCAUUUAUAAACAAUAUAUGGUAUUUUUUGGGGGUGUAUAAUUUGCUGAAGGAAUCUAAAAACGUGUUUAAAGAAAAGAAAAAAACCUUUUGUAAAUGAGUAUUAUAGUGUUUUAAUUCUAAGGCUGUUAUAGUUUUCAUAUUUACGUUAAAAAAACAACCUUUUAUGGCUAAAAGCGUUACUUAAAUGCUUUAGGAAAAAUGAUUUUUUUUGCAUAUAUAGCAGUAAAUAUGGGAACCUGCGAUCUGGUUUCCAGACAUAAUCGCAAAAACUUACUGAUUUUAAGACAAAAAAUAUAAAAAGUUAUCGAAACGGUCAAUCUGUGAGAGUGCAGCUUUAAUAAAGAAUAUAGUUUAAAAACAUGUUUCACACCAAUUAUUUAACAUGGGCUUAUGUAUUUACAUAUUCUCAUUUUUCAUUCCACAAAAGAACACACACACUACAUUUACAACAACAGUAAUUUUACCAAGAACGAACAUUUUGGUGUUUUAUAUUAUAAUAAAUAUGUUAGCCUUUAUAAAGUUAACAAUAUGUGAUGACCAUAGGUUAGUACCUAUUACUAUUUUAACACAAUGUCAUACAAAUUAAUAAAAAAAAGUUCAUACAAAUAUCAUAUCAAAAUCCUGAACGCAUUGUUAUAUGGAAAGCUACUUAUAAAGUAAGCAUCUGUUUUAUCAUGUAUUUGUUGCACUUGAGUUAUGUAAAAUAAACUUGGUCAGCAACUGAUGUCAAAGUCGUAAAUCAUAUCCAAAAUGUCAAGAGCUGGGAUACAUAUUUAAAAGGCAAAUAUUAUAGAACAAAACAUUUCCUGCACUUUGAAUAGUUGACAUUUUGCUUUUUCAUGGUGUGCAUAUUUUAUUUCUAUGAAAUUGAAAAACUUAAGUGCUUGGCAAACAUGGUAUUCUAAUUCGGUUAACAAAAUAUACGUCUAUUUCAAAGUAUAACUAAAAAACUAUAAAGGCAGUAAUCUAAUUCUUCUCCCUGAUUUUUGAGUUUAUAAAACUUAAUAAUUGAUUACAUGGGAAUCGUCAAACAUGGGUUUGGCUCGGCUGUAAAUGGUGUGUAAGCAAUGUUCGAGGGGGUCUGGGGCCAUCCCCCUCCUUCUCCUCCCUCUCUCCUAUCUGGGUUUUUGUUCAGCUUGAUUGUCAGAGAUGUGUUAUGUCUUAUAACUUAGGAAGACAGUAGACAAUAUUUCGAUGUUAUCAUUUAUUUAAAAUGACAUUUUUAAUUUUUCUUUACUACUCUAAAAGAUAAAACCUAUGUCAGUGUAUAUUUUAUUGCAUUUCAUUAAAUGUAAAACCCAGUUAAAAUUGAAAAGCAUAUAUGUGCACAUGUAGCAGUGUUUAAGUAAUAUACAUGUAUAGAAUGUUAGGUUAUUUCAUAUCUUUGUUAUCAUUAUAUAAUCAUGAUUUAUUGUUUUACUCAGAUGUUAAAUGCUUUGUGUUCUUAGUAUAGAAAGUGAACAUACCAGUCUGAAUUAAAACUUCUUUUUUUAUAUAAUAUAAUGCAAUAAGAAAAAAAAAGAAUCCUGUUUUUAAAAAUAUUCCAGAAUAUAAUAAUAGAUGUUGGCAAUUUAGUGUGAAUAUUUCCUGGUGCAGCUUAAUAAAUAAUAACUCGUUGUAUUUCC